AUUGAACGCUGGCGGCAUGCCUUACACAUGCAAGUCGAACGGCAGCACGGGAGCAAUCCUGGUGGCGAGUGGCGAACGGGUGAGUAAAGUAUCGGAACGUGCCCAGUCGUGGGGGAUAACGUAGCGAAAGUUACGCUAAUACCGCAUACGAUCUAUGGAUGAAAGCGGGGGAUCGCAAGACCUCGCGCGAUUGGAGCGGCCGAUAUCAGAUUAGGUAGUUGGUGGGGUAAAGGCUCACCAAGCCGACGAUCUGUAGCUGGUCUGAGAGGACGACCAGCCACACUGGGACUGAGACACGGCCCAGACUCCUACGGGAGGCAGCAGUGGGGAAUUUUGGACAAUGGGCGCAAGCCUGAUCCAGCCAUGCCGCGUGCAGGAUGAAGGCCUUCGGGUUGUAAACUGCUUUUGUACGGAACGAAAAGGUUUGGCCUAAUACGCUGAACUCAUGACGGUACCGUAAGAAUAAGCACCGGCUAACUACGUGCCAGCCGCCGCAGUAA
rnacentral:rRNA from 1 species